AAUACUGGCCUGAUGAGUAUGCUCUAAAAGAAUAUGGCGUCAUGCGUGUUAGGAACGUCAAAGAAAGCGCCGCUCAUGACUAUACGCUAAGAGAACUUAAACUUUCAAAGGUUGGACAAGGAAUACGGAGAGAACGGUCUGGCAAUACCACUUUCGGACCUGGCCGGACCACGGCGUGCCCAGCGACCCUGGGGGCGUGCUGGACUUCCUGGAGGAGGUGCACCAUAAGCAGGAGAGCAUCAUGGAUGCAGGGCCGGUCGUGGUGCACUGCA
rnacentral:lncRNA from 1 species